UACGAAGGGGGGCUAGCGUUGCUCGGAAUCACUGGGCGUAAAGGGUGCGUAGGCGGGUCUUUUAAGUCAGGGGUGAAAUCCUGGAGCUCAACUCCAGAACUGCCUUUGAUACUGAGGAUCUUGAGUUCGGGGAGAGGUGAGUGGAACUGCGAGUGUAGAGGUGAAAUUCGUAGAUAUUCGCAAGAACACCAGUGGCGAAGGCGGCUCACUGGCCCGAUACUGACGCUGAGGCACGAAAGCGUGGGGAGCAAACAGG
rnacentral:rRNA from 1 species